UACGUAGGGUGCGAGCAUUGUCCGGAAUUAUUGGGCGUAAAGGGCUCGUAGGCGGUCUGUCGCGUCGGGAGUGAAAACUCAGGGCUUAACCCUGAGCCUGCUUCCGAUACGGGCAGACUAGAGGUAUGCAGGGGAGAACGGAAUUCCUGGUGUAGCGGUGAAAUGCGCAGAUAUCAGGAGGAACACCAGUGGCGAAGGCGGUUCUCUGGGCAUUACCUGACGCUGAGGAGCGAAAGUGUGGGGAGCGAACAGG
rnacentral:rRNA from 1 species